rnacentral:rRNA from 1 species
UACAGAGGUCUCAAGCGUUGUUCGGAUUCAUUGGGCGUAAAGGGUGUGUAGGUGGCGCCGUAAGUCGGGUGUGAAAUUUCGGAGCUUAACUCCGAAACUGCAUUCGAUACUGCGGUGCUUGAGGACUGGAGAGGAGGACUGGAAUUCAUGGUGUAGCAGUGAAAUGCGUAGAGAUCAUGAGGAAGACCAGUGGCGAAGGCGGGUCUCUGGACAGUUCCUGACACUGAGACAGAAGGCCAGGGGAGCAAACGGG